rnacentral:rRNA from 1 species
AGAGUUUGAUCCUGGCUCAGAUUGAACGCUGGCGGCAGGCCUAACACAUGCAAGUCGAGCGGAUGAGAAGAGCUUGCUCUUCGAUUCAGCGGCGGACGGGUGAGUAAUGCCUAGGAAUCUGCCUGGUAGUGGGGGACAACGUUUCGAAAGGAACGCUAAUACCGCAUACGUCCUACGGGAGAAAGCAGGGGACCUUCGGGCCUUGCGCUAUCAGAUGAGCCUAGGUCGGAUUAGCUAGUUGGUGAGGUAAUGGCUCACCAAGGCGACGAUCCGUAACUGGUCUGAGAGGAUGAUCAGUCACACUGGAACUGAGACACGGUCCAGACUCCUACGGGAGGCAGCAGUGGGGAAUAUUGGACAAUGGGCGAAAGCCUGAUCCAGCCAUGCCGCGUGUGUGAAGAAGGUCUUCGGAUUGUAAAGCACUUUAAGUUGGGAGGAAGGGCAUUAACCUAAUACGUUAGUGUUUUGACGUUACCGACAGAAUAAGCACCGGCUAACUCUGUGCCAGCAGCCGCGGUAAUACAGAGGGUGCAAGCGUUAAUCGGAAUUACUGGGCGUAAAGCGCGCGUAGGUGGUUUGUUAAGUUGGAUGUGAAAGCCCCGGGCUCAACCUGGGAACUGCAUCCAAAACUGGCAAGCUAGAGUACGGUAGAGGGUGGUGGAAUUUCCUGUGUAGCGGUGAAAUGCGUAGAUAUAGGAAGGAACACCAGUGGCGAAGGCGACCACCUGGACUGAUACUGACACUGAGGUGCGAAAGCGUGGGGAGCAAACCAGGAUUAGAUACCCUGGUAGUCCACACCGUAAACGAUGUCAAGCUAGCCGUUGGAAUCCUUGAGAUUUUAGUGGCGCAGCUAACCGCAUUAAGUGACCCGCCUGGANCGCA